rnacentral:lncRNA from 1 species
AUAUAACUCCUUCAACCUUUACAUUCUAAAAAAAACACUUAAAGAUCAGAUUUUUAUAGCUUAAGAAACGUGACUUUUACAAUUCCUUAUGAUAAAAAAUGAGACCAAAGAAACGUAGUCAUUCCAAGAAGCAAGAACCUUGAAGUUUCGUUCAAGAAUUUUGAAGAAGCAAAAGCUAAUCUCGUUCACCAAUUUUAAAAAAAAAAACAGAAGCUUAAUCCGAUUUUUGGGGUUCUUAGUUCAAUCCAAGAAGGUUUCCAAUGGAAUCUUAUACGAAGUUUUCCCUACUCCAGGUAUGUUAAGGCCAUCCCUUCUUUCUUUUGGCAUGAUCCAAAUUAUACAGAAGAAACGACCAAACGCACAAUUUUCAUAAAUUACUCUAUUCAUAGAAAAACUAGGGGUGUCUACAUUCUUGAUUCCCCAUGAGAAUUAUUAUUAUCUUCUAUUCAUGGGUUUCAGAAUAAUACCCAGUUGAAAAAGGUUAUCCGGAAGGAAUAUUGAGACUAUUACGUAUUUUUCAUGCAUUUCACCCAUUUAUGCAUGUGCAUUGACUCAUGACCAGAUGGAGUUAGAUACGCGUAUAUAUGUAAAUAUAUGUAUAUGGGAUAUGGGAAAAGGUUACGGUGUUAUAUACGUACCACCACCUAAUCAGCUGGUAUAUGUUGAUGAUGUUGCCCACAGUGGCCGAGACGAUAUGAUGGGAUGCUUUCAGUGGCUUGAUGAUAUAAUGUACACCCAUACCUAUGCAUGGCAUGACAUUUAUACGCACGUGCAUGACAUUAUAAAUGUUUUAGAAUUUACGAAGUUAUUCAGAUUUAAAGACGUGUUUCUAUAUUCUAUGUUUCAUCUAUGUCUUUUACGUACUAAUUUUCAUGCCUUACAUACUCAGUACAUUUUUCGUACUGACGCCCUAUUUUACGGGGCCUGCGUUUCAUGCCCGCAGGUGCAGGUAGUCAAGCUGACGGUCCCCCUUCUUAGGAUCCCUGAUCAGCGAGAGUUGGCGUGCUCCACUUGAUCCGGAGCUGCAAUAUAUAUAUAUAUAUAUAUAUAUCUGACAUGGCUCAGUCCUGUCUUUGUACAGUUAUGUUUCCAUUAGAGGUCUGUAGACAAUAUGUCUAGUUGGGUUGUAUAUGGCCUUGUUGGGUUUCAGUUUUGGGUGUAUAGUUGUCUAUAGUAGCCUUGCCGGCUCGCCCACUGUAUUCUUCAUGUAUACGUACAUAUGCCUUGUUGGCAGGUUUCCUUCAUGUAUGUUAUUUUCGUAAUGCAACAGAUGUUAUUCAGGUUCAUAUCUUAGACGUAUGCUUAGGGGUAUUUGACAAGUAGGAC